ACUGCAUAAAAAGGAGGAGCUCUCCCACCCUCGUCGGAGUGAACCGCUUGCCGUCUGACAGCAAACCUUUUGGGAAACAGCCAGCCUUGUCACCGUGCUUGAAGGCUUUUCAGGGCAUAGAGAGGACACGGUGCGGCUUGGCAGGCGCGUUCCGACUCCGGUCUGGUGUAGGGGUUGCACUCAGUCUCUCUGGCUGUUUUGUGUGUUCCCGUCUGACAGCUCACACUUCUCCGCCGUGUGCCUUGGCCGCAGGACACAGAGCACUAAGAAGAAAGACUGUGUGUUACCCAAGGCCCCGAGGGUGGAAUCCACUUGGCCAGGUAACAACUAUCCUGAUGGAAAGAGUCGUCCCUCCCCGUCCCCAAGCUCCCCUCUAAGAAACCAAACCUGUGCAGACAAACACAACCAACACGCCGGUGUCAGCCACGGGGCCCAAGACGUGUGUGGUCUCUCAGACAUCAAGGAGCCAGCAAACAACCCCAGUGUGUCUGCCAGGAUGAGAAGGGCUGAGGACCUAGAGAGAGGGAGAUUCCUGCGUUGCCAAGGCAGCCGUGAACCUGAACAUGUGUGCAAAGACAGAGGAGAGCACGGAAUUGGGAAGGCCACCGUAAGGAACUAAGAAGGAAUAAGAAGUGGAGGCUGGAGGUCAGGGGUGCUCAGAGAAUCUGGCCAGAUGGAGGCUUCUCAAUGGGGCUGGGAGAUGCCGGGGCUUAGAGGAAGCACCAGCAGGGCCGAGGUAUAGACCUGGACCGCCUGGUUAUAGCAGGUGCUCACUACACAGGGGUUAAUGGAUGGUCGAGGAGAACAGCUGGCGGAAUUCUGGCACUGCUCUGUAUAUCUAGGUGAUUUCCACCUCCAAGGGAUCUAGAAAACACGAGAAACAUGUUUAUUACUUUCUUCAUAACACCUUUAGGACCCUGGGAAGAAAGACACUUAUACUGCAAAUACACAGUCACAUAAACGGAAACAUUCUGUUUAUGUGUAAUGUGUGAUGGAAGAUACUGAUCAACUAGCCCAUAUUUCCAACCACGGGACUGGCUGCCAGCAGGACCACCAUGGCACUUAUUACCAUGAAAAGGAGCCGAGAAAGCAGGAGAUUGGCAGGGAACACCAUGGAAGAAAGCAGAUGCGCGAGUCACGGUCAUCCCAGCCGGAUGGGGCACGAGGCCAUCCUUCCAUCACCGUUGCCCCCAACACCGGCAGUCUUUGCAGUACUCCAAAGGUCUAAGACCGUGGGAGAAAAGGAACUAAGGAUCACAUGUCAACCCUUGGGGCACACUCGAAGGCUGCUCUCAAUACUACAGCCAAGUUAUAGGUGACGAUUAUUUGUAAUCUGACAUCAGCAGAAUAAUCUUGCAGGAAAGAGGUGGAGAUGACAGAAGGACGCAUGCCCUGUGCUUACCCCGGGAUUAUUCAUGAAGGCAGUCUGGAACAUAGGGGGAUAGGAGGACCAGGAGAGGCAUCAUCUAAAAAUGUUCUCUGACCCACCAUGCUCAGAGUUGAGACUGCUCUUCGGAAGGUAUAUUCGCAUGGGUAGUGUGGAGGUUGGAGACACGGCAUUUGCUUUCUGCUAGAGCACGGGAGAUUUGCAAAGUGGCAAAGGGAAGAGGAGAGGUAGAGCCUCAGAAACUUUCUUCCUCAGAGGUUCAUGCGCUGAAAAGCCAACUUAAUGCCACACAUCUGGAAAAGCUGAUCACCUACGUAUGGCUUCCUCUUAAGGAUUUAAAAAAAACUGGUGGGAAAUAAUUGAAGGCAUUGAUGGUGAAAACCUGCUGAUCUCUACAAUGUAACAAUUUAUCUUUCCAGAAAGGAGAAAGGAAUUUUACAACUUUUUAUUUUUAAUUUUAUAACUUUAAGGACUUCUCUGACUUAAAAAAAAAAUAGGAAUUUUGUAUCAGACACACUUGGGAAAUGCUGCAGUCUAUAUAUAGCCCACCUAAUGCCCAUGAGAAUAUGGAAAGAAAAGUUUCACUGUUAGAAAUCCAUAGAAAUGCAGGGAGGAGGCAAUAUCACCGCCCAGGGGAUGUGGCAACGUUUGAAGACAUUUUUGGCUAUUACAACCAAGAGGAUGGUUGGCAUCCAGUGGGUAGAAACAAGGAUGCUGUGUGACAUCUCACAAUGCACAGGCCAGCUCCCCAACAACGAAACUACCUGGUCCCACACGUCAACAGUGCUGAGACGGGGGUAUCCUGAUUCACUCCUAUUUACAACCCAUACAAUACUUUCUGCCCCUCUGCCUUUGUCUCUAAUCAGAAAUACAAUCUGCUACUUCUCUGAUCAAAUGCCAAUGAGGAAUGAAUCCUACUUUUAAAAAGUAUCCAAAAGAAAAGCCACAACGUUCAACGCUGACACACCAAUUCCUAGAUACAGCCGGACUAUUACAUAUGUGCAAAUUCUACCGUGGAUGAGGGAAAUACUGAUGCUGGAAGCACGAAGUUAAAAGCAACUUGUAAGUAUGAACUAUCAGUGCUACCAGAACAAUCCAAAGGUGUGAACAUGGCGGAGUAGCCCUUUUUAGAAAUGCCCAUCCUCGUGUGUGCCUUUGUUUCCAAAGUUGGUCACUCCCGCCAAAACUGCCAUGCAGAACGUCUACAUAUUACAUUGGACACAUUUGUAGACAUUUAUAACAAUUCUCCCUCCCGACUUCCAAAAAAGAAGGAGGGACUCUACUCAUUGGUUUGCAAAUUCAGUCUGGUAAGACAACGUUGAGGCCUCAUAUUUUCAGCUCAUCCUUGAAAGUUUUUGACUGACCUUGAUGGCUUCCUGCAAUCCCACAUAAUAUAUAAUGGAAAAUUCAACUCUCUGGAGAGAACUGUUUUCUGAUAGCUAGCCAGUGACAUUCCAUGGGGCUUGCAUCUGUGACCUUGAGUUUGACUUUUGCUGAGGAGUCCUCCCUCUCCUCACCAGAUGUCUCUUUAGGGUUUCACAACCUUGGUACUAUGUCAACAUCUUGGGUGAGAUAAUUCUUUGCUGUUGGGGGCUAUGCUGUGCCUCGUAGGAUGCUUAUCAACAUCCCUGGCUUCCACUUAGUAGAUACAAGUAGCAUCCCCAACCCACUUGAGACAGUCCCCAGAUAUUGCCCAAUGUCCCCAGGGGGUAAAAAUCACCCCCAGUUGAAAACCACUGACUUAUCCUAAGGUUUUCAGAAAGUCCUUCAACAAAAUCUCAAAACGGAAUUGAUUGUAACUGAUUUAAUAGCCGUGGUGGGGCACAGAGAGCUUUUUCAUGGAAGGAAGUGGUAAAGGGCCUGCUGAACAUCAAUCCAAGAUCAAGGUCUUAGGCUAAAAGAGUUGGGAAGUCCUGGUCUCCAGAGAACGUGACAUGGACAACGUGAAACCAAUUCCCACACACAGCAAUGACUACAAUGAACAACCACGCUCUUCGGGACAGCACUUCCUCCCUGACAUCAUGUCCCUGGCCUGCCACCGCUAAGAGUUCCCGGAUAUUUCACAUAUGAUUAAAAAAACAACCAAUGAGAAGGAAAUAAUGAUUUCAACAAGAAAGGGCACAUUGUAAUGCAGAAAUAGGGCUCAGUGAAUAUGAAAAGCUGCCUUCCGGAGACUUCCUUCAAAGAGGGAAUGAUCUCUUGGAAUUCAAGCUUCUACAAGGUGACUACCUGGUGUUUUCCAUUUUUGUCUUCUCCUAAAAAGCAUCAAUCAAGCCUUGCCCUUUCGGCCCACUGAACACAUAAACACUCUUUUUCCCUCACUGAACUUACUGCCACGAUGAACUUGAACUCUAAGACGCACAAGAGGAGAGCUGUUUUAACAGCUGCUUUUACACUGAGG